rnacentral:rRNA from 1 species
ACGAACGCUGACGGCGUGCUUAACACAUGCAAGUCGAACGGGCCCGCUCUCUUUUUUGGGGGUGGGUUGAGUGGCGAACGGGUGAGUAUCACGUGAGUAACCUGCCCCCUGCUCCUGGAUAACUGCUUGAAAGGGCGGCUAAUACGGGGUGUGCCGGCUGGUCCGCAUGGGCCUGGUCGGGAUAGUUUCAUCUUCGGGUGUUUCGGUGGGGGAUGGGCUCGCGGCCUAUCAGCUUGUUGGUGGGGUGAUGGCCCACCAAGGCGGUGACGGGUAGCCGGCCUGAGAGGGUGGGCGGCCACACUGGGACUGAGACACGGCCCAGACUCCUGCGGGAGGCAGCAGUGGGGGGUAUUGCACAAUGGACGGAAGCCUGAUGCAGCGACGUCGCGUGAGGGAUGGAGGCCUUCGGGUUGUGAACCUCUUUCUCCGGUGGUGAAGGCCCUGUCCGUUGCGGCGGGGUUGACGGUAGCCGGGUAUGAAGCGCCGGCUAACUACGUG